UCACACUUGAAAGUAACAAGUCCGACUCAGAUGAUGAUGAGCAGCAGAUGGAGCUUGCUGAAGAAAUGGAGAAUGAAAUUUGCAGAGUUGGGGAUAUGUCCAUGGAUGAGGAUGUGGCUUUAUUUCUCCAAGAAUUUAAGGCUCCUGACAUAUUCAUGGGAGUGCUGGCCAAAUCCAGGUGCCCCCGAUUAAGAUUUCUGGCCUGGAUAUCUGACACUCUGUCUGGAGCUGGAG